CAGCUUCCAAAAGAUGGGACCUCCAAUG
rnacentral:sRNA from 1 species